rnacentral:rRNA from 1 species
UACGUAGGGCGCAAGCGUUGUCCGGAAUUAUUGGGCGUAAAGAGCUCGUAGGCGGCGUGUCGCGUCGGUUGUGAAAGCCCGGGGCUUAACUCCGAGCUUGCAGUCGAUACGGGCAGGCUAGAGUUCGGCAGGGGAGACUGGAAUUCCGUGGUGAGCGGUGAAAUGCGCAGAGUAUCAGGAGGAACACCGGUGGCGAAGGCGGGUCUCUGGGCCGAUGACUGACGCUGGAGGAGCGAAAGCGUGGGGAGCAAACAGG